AUUGAACGCUGGCGGCAGGCCUAACACAUGCAAGUCGAGCGAGCGGCGGACGGGUGAGUAAUGUCUGGGAAACUGCCUGAUGGAGGGGGAUAACUACUGGAAACGGUAGCUAAUACCGCAUACUAUCAGAUGUGCUCAGGUGGGAUUAGCUAGUAGGUGGGGUAACGGCUCACCCAGGCGACGAUCCCUAGCUGGCCUGAGAGGAUGACCAGCCACACUGGAACUGAGACACGGUCCAGACUCCUACGGGAGGCAGCAGUGGGGAAUAUUGCGCAAUGGGCGCAAGCCUGAUGCAGCCAUGCCGCGUGUGUGAAGAAGGCCUUCGGGUUGUAAAGCACUUUCAGCGGGGAGGCGUUACCCGCAGAGGAAGCACCGGCUAACUCCGUGCCAGCCGCCGCGGUAAUAC
rnacentral:rRNA from 1 species